rnacentral:rRNA from 1 species
GACGAACGCUGGCGGCGUGCUUGACACAUGCAAGUCGAGCGAUGAACCUUUCAUGAAUUUUUCGGAAUGAUUGGAAGAGGAUUAGCGGCGGACGGGUGAGUAACGCGUGAGCAACCUGCCUUAAACAACGGGAUAGCCUCGGGAAACCGGGAUUAAUACCGUAUGAGACCCCGCCUUCACAUGAAGAAGAGGUUAAAGAUUUAUCGGUUUAAGAUGGGCUCGCGUCUGAUUAGCUAGUUGGUGAGAUAAAAGCCCACCAAGGCAACGAUCAGUAACCGGCUUGAGAGAGUGAACGGUCACAUUGGAACUGAGACACGGUCCAAACUCCUACGGGAGGCAGCAGUGGGGAAUAUUGCACAAUGGGGGAAACCCUGAUGCAGCGACGCCACGUGAGCGAUGAAGGAAUUCGUUUCGUAAAGCUCUGUCCAAGGGGAAGAUAAUGACAGUACCCUUGGAGGAAGCCCCGGCUAAAUACGUGCCAGCCGCCGCUGUAAUAC